CAGCCGCCGCGGUAAUACCGGCGGCCCGAGUGGCGGUCACUAUUAUUGGGCUUAAAGCGUCCGUAGCCGGGUUGGGAAGUCCUCCGGGAAAUCUGGCCGCUUAACGGUCAGAAUGCCGGAGGAUACUCCCAGCCUAGGGAGCGGGAGAGGCCGAGGGGAUUCCCGGAGGAGGGGGGAAAUCCUAUAAUCCCGGGAGGACCACCUGUGGCGAAGGCGCUCGGCUGGAACGCGUCCGACGGUGAGGGACGAAGGCCAGGGGAGCAAACCGGAUUAGAUACCCGGGUAGUCCUGGCUGUAAACGAUGCGGACUUUGUGUCGGACAAGCUAUGAGCUUGUCCGGUGCCGGAGGGAAACCGUUAAGUCCGCCGCCUGGGGAGUACGGCCGCAAGGCUGAAACUUAAAGGAAUUGGCGGG
rnacentral:rRNA from 1 species